GUUCACCUCUCCUUAGGCAACCUAGUGGGCCUCACUCCUGGGAGGUCAUGAUAUUGAUGCCAGUUUAGUGUGGACACCCAGUGAGCAUAGCUCACUACAGCCCAGAAGUUCUGGGCUCAAGCUGUCCUCCUGCCUCAGCUCCCAAGUAUCUGGGACUACAGGUACAUGCCACCAUGUCCAGCAACAAAGACAUAUUUUAGUUAUCCUGUGUUUGUGUCUGUCUCAAUACCUAGCCUUAGUAUAAACAUUUAGCAAAUGUUUAUUGAUGAAAUGGAUGAAGUCCCACCUCCCAUUUUGGACCACUUGCCCUUCUCAGAAAUGAUCUAUGAACUCUCACUGAAUGUUCAGUUAACGUCCAUGGUUUAUCAUUUCAAUGCAUUUUAAUUCUUCCAGUAUUCAUUUUUCUUCUCCACUAGGUUUAAGCAUGGUCAUAGCAGAAUCAAUGUGCUCACCCCAUCAUGAAAAAAAAAAUGUGUUAAUGAAUUGAUUACUACUUUGAGUGUGCCAUAUUUUAAAGACGAAGAGAAACUAAUCAAGUUAGUUUUUAUUUGGUCAGAGGCUUGUUUGUGCCUGCUUAUCUAAAGUUAUAAAGGCCCCAAAUAUGGCUCCGUGUUGCAGAGGGACUGUCUCUUCUUAUAUCGACAGAGCCCAUAUUCACAAUGUAUCACACUUACCUCGAUGUAUUGUCUGGAGUUUCCUAGGCUGUGUCCUUUGCCUGGAAUGCUCUCUCUUGCUGGCUGGCUUCUUCCCACCAGCUGUGGCCAGGGCUGCUCCUUAUUCCUUCGUCAAAACUCCGUCUGCUGGGUGUGGUGCCUCACACCUGUAAUCCCAGCACUUUGAGAGGCCAAGGUGGGAGUAUCGUUUGAGCCCAGGAGUUCAAGACAAGCCUGGACAACAGAGCAAGACCCUGUCUCUACCAAAGAAAAGAAAAGAAAAGAAAAGAAACAGCCACUUUCUCUUCCAUGAGCCAGUUUAUGUUUUCUUCACGGCAUUUGUUACAAAUCACAAAUGUGGAGGAAAAAUGAAGGCAAAGCAAAAUAACAGGCAAGUCUGAAAACAAAAGUGUUGCCAGUCACGCUAAGCCUCAGGCACGCAUUCUGAAUGAAGCUAAAGUUUAAAGUCCCCUCUGAUAGAUUUGUGACUUAAAUGUCCACACUAGCAAGUGUGUUUCUCACAUGGAGAAGUAGCACGAUUUUAUGUCAGGAAAGGGAUGAGAACAUGCUUCUUGAACACAUACAAUGCUGAAGACAUUUCCUGGAAAACCAUUGGCCUUUGCUUAGGACAGUUGCAUCACACAGAGAUGUUUGUGGUUCAGAUUUAUAAGAAACAUGGGAACUGAAGCCAAAGCACUACUUUUGCUCAGUAUAACCAGGUGCCAGAUCUAAAGUGUUAGGCAGGUUCCUAUAUGUAUGUUAGAAAAAAGUUGCCCAAGUUUUGGACAAUUCCUUUUCCAUCUCUCUUACAAGUCAACAAAUCGAAGCAAUAAACUAUUCUCUGAAGAAAACAAAUUUAUUUGGUUGAUUCAAACUUUUAAUGAGACUAUUACUCCCCUGUGUGCCUUUCCUUUCUCUGGUUCUAGAAAUACAUCUAGAAAGGGGGAAAAUGUUAAU
rnacentral:lncRNA from 10 species